UAAAAUGAGGAGACAAAUACUAAAAU
rnacentral:piRNA from 1 species